UUAUGGUCAUAUCACAUUGAAAGGCCGGUUCUUCUAUGAUCACUGAAGUUAAGCAACGUCGAGACUGGUCAGUAACUAGAUGGGUGACCUCUGGGGAAAACCAGGUACUGUAA